rnacentral:rRNA from 1 species
GGUGGUGCAUGGCCGUUCUUAGUUGGUGGAGUGAUUUGUCUGGUUAAUUCCGAUAACGAACGAGACCUUUUUCUUUAAAUAGUGGUAUUAAUCUUUUAGAUUGGUGCAACUUCUUAAAGAGACUGUUGAUGUUUAAUUAACGGAAGUUGAAGGCAAUAACAGGUCUGUGAUGCCCUUAGAUGUUCUGGGCCGCACGCGCGCUUCACUGAUGAAUUCAACAAGUGACACUUUUAGUGGUAUCCUUGGCCGCAAGGUCUGGGUAAUCUUUUUGAAACUUCAUCGUGAUGGGGAUUAUCCAUUGCAAUUAUUGGAUAUGAACGAGGAAUCCCUAGUAAGCACAUGUCAUCAGCAUGUGUUGAUUACGUCCCUGCCCUUUGUACACACCGCCCGUCGCU